rnacentral:snoRNA from 1 species
AUGCAGUGAUGUGACUUGAAUUUCUUCACCUGAGACUCAUCCUGAUGUUUUAUGAGCUUUUUAACCCUGAGCACU